CUAUCAUUGGGCAAAUGCCGGACAAAAACAGGGUUUGUCAAGGAUUCCAAUGGGGGAAUCUAGGGCGAGUCCUGUCAGAGACUCCGUUCUCUUCUUCCUCUCUAGGCCUCUUCAAUGGAAAAUCAGCUGACCUCAUCACAAUAUCUUCCACCAUGCCCAAACACAGAAGAAAUGGAACUAAGAAAACCUAAUAAUUGGCUUUGUCGCUUUUCCUUGAUGUGUUGUCCAAAUGAAAACAAAAAUUGUUUACAGUCUUUGUUGUUUGGUUAUUGUAGCUUCCCAUUGUUUUGUAGACUUAUUAUAGUGUGAACAUUGAUUUAUACAUGAGAUUAUGCAGGAGAGGCACAUUCCUUGAAGAUAGAGAAGAUUCUAUUUCAAUGCAAGUCUGACUAUCAAGAUCUAAUGGUCUUCAAGUAUUUGACAUUGGAGAUUGAUGGGUUAUGAGAGGAAAUAGAAAAUUAGGUGAGAAGUCGACAUUGGAGAAGAAGAAAAAGCAGAGAUCUUGAUGAACUGAGUUGGGUUUUUUCUAAUUUAAGGAAGAUGGUUUACCCCAUCAAUCUCAUCCAAAUUAUCUCCAGAGCGAUGGAUCCAAGACCAGCGACACGCGAACCCAUGUGGGUCCCUCGAGGAGGAAUUGAAGAUGUGGAUGAGAGCUGUGGAGUGGAAGAGGAAGAAGAACAUGAAAAGCAUCAUCGGCCAUGGAUUUGUAUAGAGAAAGAGAGUGAGAGUUGGGGCUAUAUUUAAAGUCGAAAUUGUCCUCUAUUUUUGUUUCACGUGAGCUUCACGUAAUAUUAUUGAUG
rnacentral:lncRNA from 1 species